GGGUAACCUGCCUGUAAGACUGGGAUAACUCCGGGAAACCGGGGCUAAUACCGGAUGCUUGAUUGAACCGCAUGGUUCAAUUAUAAAAGGUGGCUUUUAGCUACCACUUACAGAUGGACCCGCGGCGCAUUAGCUAGUUGGUGAGGUAACGGCUCACCAAGGCAACGAUGCGUAGCCGACCUGAGAGGGUGAUCGGCCACACUGGGACUGAGACACGGCCCAGACUCCUACGGGAGGCAGCAGUAGGGAAUCUUCCGCAAUGGACGAAAGUCUGACGGAGCAACGCCGCGUGAGUGAUGAAGGUUUUCGGAUCGUAAAACUCUGUUGUUAGGGAAGAACAAGUACCGUUCGAAUAGGGCGGUACCUUGACGGUACCUAACCAGAAAGCCACGGCUAACUACGUGCCAGCAGCCGCGGUAAUACGUAGGUGGCAAGCGUUGUCCGGAAUUAUUGGGCGUAAAGCGCGCGCAGGCGGUUUCUUAAGUCUGAUGUGAAAGCCCCCGGCUCAACCGGGGAGGGUCAUUGGAAACUGGGGAACUUGAGUGCAGAAGAGGAGAGUGGAAUUCCACGUGUAGCGGUGAAAUGCGUAGAGAUGUGGAGGAACACCAGUGGCGAAGGCGACUCUCUGGUCUGUAACUGACGCU
rnacentral:rRNA from 1 species